rnacentral:pre_miRNA from 1 species
ACUUGGGCCAAGGGAAUGCAAACUGUGAUGCCUAGUAGUUUGUUCGUUUGGCUUAAGUUA